rnacentral:rRNA from 1 species
UACGUAGGGAGCAAGCGUUGUUCGGAAUCACUGGGCGUAAAGCGAGUGUAGGCGGGAAGGUAAGUUAGGAGUGAAAGGCGUGGGCUUAACCCGCGAUCUGCUUUUAAUACUGCUUUUCUUGAGUAUGGGAGAGGUAGACGGAAUUCCAGGUGUAGCGGUGGAAUGCGUAGAUAUCUGGAAGAACACCAGUUGCGAAGGCGGUCUACUGGCCCAAUACUGACGCUGAGGCUCGAAAGUUAGGGGAGCGAACAGGAUUAGAUACCCUGGUAGUCCUAACCGUAAACGAUGGAUACUAGAUGCUGGGGGGUUCUGCCCUUCGGUGUCGUAGCUAACGCGUUAAGUAUCCCGCCUGGGGAGUACGCUCGCAAGAGUGAA